CAGAUUCAUUUUCAAUUUACAGCCAGAGAGUCGAGAAAUUGUUUUCAUAUUUCGCUGAGGCUUCUCCUACAGUCGAAGAAUCAUCUCAAGAUGUUUGAGGUUUUGUGGCCCCACCAACCGCGUCACAAGCACUGGACUUGAUCAACAGCAAAUCACAGCAGGAUAUGCUCUCGGGUGGCCACUUGGCCAUGGGCCUGACCCCUGGCUACGCCCGAGACAAACCGCUUCCAGAAG